GACGAACGCUGGCGGCGUGCUUAACACAUGCAAGUCGAACGGAAAGGCCCUGCUUUUGUGGGGUGCUCGAGUGGCGAACGGGUGAGUAACACGUGAGUAACCUGCCCUUGACUUUGGGAUAACUUCAGGAAACUGGGUCUAAUACCGGAUAGGAGCUCCUGCUGCAUGGUGGGGGUUGGAAAGUUUCGGCGGUUGGGGAUGGACUCGCGGCUUAUCAGCUUGUUGGUGGGGUAGUGGCUUACCAAGGCUUUGACGGGUAGCCGGCCUGAGAGGGUGACCGGCCACAUUGGGACUGAGAUACGGCCCAGACUCCUACGGGAGGCAGCAGUGGGGAAUAUUGCACAAUGGGCGGAAGCCUGAUGCAGCAACGCCGCGUGCGGGAUGACGGCCUUCGGGUUGUAAACCGCUUUCGCCUGUGACGAAGCGUGAGUGACGGUAAUGGGUAAAGAAGCACCGGCUAACUACGUGCCAGCAGCCGCGGUGAUACGUAGGGUGCGAGCGUUGUCCGGAUUUAUUGGGCGUAAAGGGCUCGUAGGUGGUUGAUCGCGUCGGAAGUGUAAUCUUGGGGCUUAACCCUGAGCGUGCUUUCGAUACGGGUUGACUUGAGGAAGGUAGGGGAGAAUGGAAUUCCUGGUGGAGCGGUGGAAUGCGCAGAUAUCAGGAGGAACACCAGUGGCGAAGGCGGUUCUCUGGGCCUUUCCUGACGCUGAGGAGCGAAAGCGUGGGGAGCGAACAGGCUUAGAUACCCUGGUAGUCCACGCUGUAAACGAGUGGGUACUAGGUGUGGGGUCCAUUCCACGGGUUCCGUGCCGUAGCUAACGCUUUAAGUACCCCGCCUGGGGAGUACGGCCGCAAGGCUAAAACUCAAAGGAAUUGACGGGGCCCCGCACAAGCGGCGGAGCAUGCGGAUUAAUUCGAUGCAACGCGUAGAACCUUACCUGGGUUUGACAUGGAUCGGGAGCGCUCAGAGAUGGGUGUGCCUCUUUUGGGGUCGGUUCACAGGUGGUGCAUGGCUGUCGUCAGCUCGUGUCGUGAGAUGUUGGGUUAAGUCCCGCAACGAGCGCAACCCUUGUUCACUGUUGCCAGCACGUUAUGGUGGGGACUCAGUGGAGACCGCCGGGGUCAACUCGGAGGAAGGUGGGGAUGACGUCAAGUCAUCAUGCCCCUUAUGUCCAGGGCUUCACGCAUGCUACAAUGGCUGGUACAGAGAGUGGCGAGCCUGUGAGGGUGAGCGAAUCUCGGAAAGCCGGUCUCAGUUCGGAUUGGGGUCUGCAACUCGACCUCAUGAAGUCGGAGUCGCUAGUAAUCGCAGAUCAGCAACGCUGCGGUGAAUACGUUCCCGGG
rnacentral:rRNA from 1 species